AAAUCCAAUUUAAAUAGUACUUUAUGUGAUAAUUACAACUUCCUGUCUUUAACACUCAAUUCAGUGUUGCCAAAAUGAAUCUUAUCGGUAAGAAUCGAUUCAUAUCGAUUGUUUUUCGACUAUGACAAUUAGUAUUUUUUUAAAUACGUAUUCAUUAAAAUGACAUUUAUAAAACCUUUUUAAUAUUCCAAUAACACUACCAAAAAUAUUUAAAUAACUAAAUGAAACCUUAUUUCACACACACCUUAUUAUACACCUUAUUUUGAGUCAUCAAAAAAUACAAUCGAUUUUUAUAUCGAUUAUUUUUAUUCAUCACGACAUUAUUAGCAUGGCAACACUGAAAAUAUUGUCACAGCUGUUUAUCUGUCAUUCGCUUUGUUUUGUAUUUUUCAUCGUGAGUGUUGUUUAGUUCUCAAAACCAAGUCUUUGCCAAAAUAAAAGCAGAAGAGUGUUGUAUAAGUUUCCCUUUUGACGACUUUAUUUUUUUGACCAUGGUCCUCGAUGCUCCCCUUCCCGAUGACCCUGGCAUACUCUCGAACUACGAAUCUCGCUCAACCAAUGACCAAUGGCUCACUUUCGGACAUCGAACCUUGCCCAAACGCCGACCACGGCUUACGUAUGGACUCCGACCCGAGCCCCAAUGUUGACCCCAGCCCGAUUUUGGAUAAUGCAACCAGAAAUUCCUCAAUCUCAUGAGGAACCUAUGAUAUGUAUCAAUUGUGUAGCUGACAUGAUGCAGAGGAGGCGACAUAGCCUAGAGCUUAUUUAAGUUCAGUUGGUUAUAAUGUCAGUGGAUGACUCCUCAGCUGAUUGAUAACAGCAGUGUAUGUUGUCACUAAUGUUGGACCGUGGCCACGGUGUGGCUCUGCACCAAUCAAGGACAAAUAAUAUUUCAAAUGAAGAAGCAACCACUAGCACUGGUCACAGUUAACGUGGAUUGUCUUUGUUACAAAUACGUUCCAUAGACUGCAUAUUAACACGGAAAGAGAAUCACAUAUUCGAAAAUAAUGUAAUAAUGGAACAGAUUUCACCUCGUCAACUGCGGGGAUCUGACCAAAUAUGUCAUCCCUGAUGGCAGUGAGCUGAUCGAGCUGCUACACAUGCUGUGGAGCCCCAACAAACACAUGAUGGGACGAGGAUUCAUUUGCCCUUUUAUUGGCCGAAUAACAGUAGGUUGCUGUGCUCAUGUUAUGACAAUUUUGUGGUUUUUGAGCGGGGCAAGGUAUCAGGAACAUGUAUUUCCACCUGCCUAGUUCCUAGACAAUAUUUUAUUGACCCAUGAGUCAGAUUAAAAU